GAAUAUGGCAACAUGCAGAUGGAAACUCCUGAGGGAUCUCAUUUUAAUAUUUCUGAUUCAGAGUUACCUAAUGAAGACAUAGAGCAAAUGGAGGAAGAUGGCAAAGAUUCUAAUGAGGAAGAUAGUUUAUUGUCAGCUGCUUUACCUACCAACUG